rnacentral:rRNA from 1 species
GAUGAACGCUGGCGGCGUGCUUAACACAUGCAAGUCGAACGAAGCAGUUUAUCACGAUCCCUUCGGGGUGACGAUUUACUGACUGAGUGGCGGACGGGUGAGUAACGCGUGGGUAACCUACCUUGUACAGGGGGACAACAGUUGGAAACGACUGCUAAUACCGCAUAAGCGCACAGCUUCGCAUGAAGCAGUGUGAAAAGUUUUUUCGGUACAAGAUGGACCCGCGUCUGAUUAGCUAGUUGGUGAGGUAACGGCCCACCAAGGCGACGAUCAGUAGCCGACCUGAGAGGGUGACCGGCCACAUUGGGACUGAGACACGGCCCAAACUCCUACGGGAGGCAGCAGUGGGGAAUAUUGCACAAUGGGCGAAAGCCUGAUGCAGCGACGCCGCGUGAGCGAAGAAGUAUUUCGGUAUGUAAAGCUCUAUCAGCAGGGAAGAUAAUGACGUAC